UGAGUAACCUGCCCUCCACUCUGGGAUAAGCCCGGGAAACUGGGUCUAAUACCGGAUAUGACCUCCUGUCUCAUGGCGGGUGGUGGAAAGUUUUUUCGGUGGGGGAUGGACUCGCGGCCUAUCAGCUUGUUGGUGAGGUAAUGGCUUACCAAGGCGACGGCGGGUAGCCGGCCUGAGAGGGCGACCGGCCACACUGGGACUGAGACACGGCCCAGACUCCUACGGGAGGCAG
rnacentral:rRNA from 1 species